rnacentral:rRNA from 1 species
UGGGGAAUAUUGGACAAUGGGCGAAAGCCUGAUCCAGCCAUGCCGCGUGUGUGAAGAAGGUCUUCGGAUUGUAAAGCACUUUAAGUUGGGAGGAAGGGCAUUAACCUAAUACGUUAGUGUUUUGACGUUACCGACAGAAUAAGCACCGGCUAACUCUGUGCCAGCAGCCGCGGUAAUACAGAGGGUGCAAGCGGUAAUCGGAAUUACUGGGCGUAAAGCGCGCGUAGGUUGUUUGUUAAGUUGGAUGUGAAAUCCCCGGGCUCAACCUGGGAACUGCAUUCAAAACUGACUGACUAGAGUAUGGUAGAGGGUGGUGGAAUUUCCUGUGUAGCGGUGAAAUGCGUAGAUAUAGGAAGGAACACCAGUGGCGAAGGCGACCACCUGGACUAAUACUGACACUGAGGUGCGAAAGCGUGGGGAGCAAACA